rnacentral:rRNA from 1 species
GACGAACGCUGGCGGCGUGCUUAACACAUGCAAGUCGAACGGAAAGGCCCUGCUUUUGUGGGGUGCUCGAGUGGCGAACGGGUGAGUAACACUUGAGUAACCUGCCCUUGACUUUGGGAUAACUUCAGGAAACUGGGGCUAAUACCUGAUAGGAGCUCCUGCUGCAUUGUGGGGGUUGGAAAGUUUCGGCGGUUGGGGAUGGACUCGCGGCUUAUCAGCUUGUUGGUGGGGUAGUGGCUUACCAAGGAUUUGACGGGUAGCCGGCCUGAGAGGGUGACCGGCCACAUUGGGACUGAGAUACGGCCCAGACUACUACGGGAGGCAGCAGUGGGGAAUAUUGCACAAUGGGCGGAAGCCUGAUGCAGAAACGCAGCGUGCGGGAUGACGGACUUCGGGUUGUAAACCGCUUUCGCCUGUGACGAAGCGUGAGUGACGGUAAUGGGUAAAGAAGCACCGGCUAACUACGUA